rnacentral:rRNA from 1 species
GACGAACGCUGGCGGCGUGCCUAAUACAUGCAAGUCGAACGAGAGCGACCGGUGCUUGCACUGGUCAAUCUAGUGGCGAACGGGUGAGUAACACGUGGGUAACCUGCCCAUCAGAGGGGGAUAACAUCCGGAAACGGAUGCUAAAAUCGCAUAGGUCUUCGAACCGCAUGGUUUGAAGAGGAAAAGAGGCGCAAGCUUCUGCUGAUGGAUGGACCCGCGGUGCAUUAGCUAGUUGGUGAGGUAACGGCUCACCAAGGCCGUGAUGCAUAGCCGACCUGAGAGGGUGAUCGGCCACAUUGGGACUGAGACACGGCCCAAACUCCUACGGGAGGCAGCAGUAGGGAAUCUUCCGCAAUGGACGCAAGCCUGACGGAGCAACGCCGCGUGAGUGAAGAAGGUUUUUCGGAUCGUAAAAACUCUGUUGUUAGAGAAAGAAACAAAGUGCUAG